UACGAAGGGUGCAAGCGUUACUCGGAAUUACUGGGCGUAAAGCGUGCGUAGGUGGUGGUUUAAGUCUGUUGUGAAAGCCCUGGGCUCAACCUGGGAAUUGCAGUGGAUACUGGGUCACUAGAGUGUGGUAGAGGGUAGCGGAAUUCCCGGUGUAGCAGUGAAAUGCGUAGAGAUCGGGAGGAACAUCCGUGGCGAAGGCGGCUACCUGGACCAACACUGACACUGAGGCACGAAAAGCGUGGGGGAGCAAACAGG
rnacentral:rRNA from 1 species